GGCGAGAUGGCCGAGCGGUCUAAGGCGCCAGACUAAGGAUCAGUCAGUAGUAACUGGCAUAUCUGGGGGGGGGAUUCGAACCCAUCAUCUCAUCUGGUCUUUCGGGGCGUGGGUUCGAAUCCCACUCUCGUCA
rnacentral:tRNA from 1 species